rnacentral:rRNA from 1 species
AGUGAACGCUGGCGGUAGGCCUAACACAUGCAAGUCGAACGGCAGCACAGUAAGAGCUUGCUCUUACGGGUGGCGAGUGGCGGACGGGUGAGGAAUACAUCGGAAUCUACUUUUUCGUGGGGGAUAACGUAGGGAAACUUACGCUAAUACCGCAUACGACCUACGGGUGAAAGCAGGGGAUCUUCGGACCUUGCGCGAUUGAAUGAGCCGAUGUCGGAUUAGCUAGUUGGCGGGGUAAAGGCCCACCAAGGCGACGAUCCGUAGCUGGUCUGAGAGGAUGAUCAGCCACACUGGAACUGAGACACGGUCCAGACUCCUACGGGAGGCAGCAGUCGGGAAUAUUGGACAAUGGGCGCAAGCCUGAACCAGCCAUACCGCGUGGGUGAAGAAGGCCUUCGGGUUGUAAAGCCCUUUUGUUGGGAAAGAAAAGCAGCAGGUUAAUACCCCGCUGUUCUGACGGUACCCAAAGAAUAAGCACCGGCUAACUUCGUG